CGUUGAAGAACCUCUUUCAUUCUCUGGGGAACAUGGUACGAAUUAAAAGUGAGGUUCGAUCUCUGCCUGCGAUCAGUUUGAUGAAGAAGGAUGAAAAGGUGAGGGCAUUCAAUACCAACUGGUAUCAAAAGUAUAACGUUAGCUGGUUAACAAGGAGCCUUUCAUCAAUCUAGCCUGCUUUUUGGAAAAUCUGAGCCUUGGGUGAAAGAGGGGUAGCUACAGUGACCUGGAGAGCAUUGAUCGUUCAGCAGGAAGCAUAUAAAUUCCCACACCAGAUUCUAGCUUCGGGGGAAAAGCUGCAUCGAAUAUGACGAAGGUCUGCGUAUUCAAACUGCGCGACACAACGAGAAAGUUAGAAGAAACGGAAAUGUUCUCAAGCGGCUUAUCAACACCCCUACGUUUUUGGGCAUGCAAGAAUUUGCUUUUAGAGGACACUAUGAGAGGGAAAGUUCCCGCCGACAAGGGAAACUACAAUGAGCUUGCAGAGCUAAGUUCCCUCCUGUUCCCUGAUUAAGAGGUGAUGACCACUCUACUACCAUUGUCAACUCUGUCCUGACAUGAACUGAAGCCAUGUCUCAUGUGCCCGCUCAUCCACUGCUACAUUGAAUGUUUCCUCUCCAAGCACUUUGAGUACCCCUGUCAAUUUUCUCUCAUUACUCUAUGUAGAGUCAAUCACAAACACAAUCACAUUAUUACACAUGAAUGAUUUUACUCCUUGCUUGGAUUAACUCAUUCUAAGCUCUUUGGUCAAACUGUGUAGUGUGUUAUUGUUUUUUGUCUUUCCAGAGAAAUCCUAUCCUGCAAUGAAGUCAAGCCUCUGAACACCUCAACGCAUGCCUCAUACCCUCAUUCAAUCACUGCUGUGAUCUUACUGUGUAAGUCACCCUCUCAAUCCCAUUGCCCGUAAUAUUGUACUAUAAAUGUAUUUAUUAAAUGCUUUAGGUUAAAAUAAUUACGCUUUGACAAUUCUUUAAACACAAUUUGACAUCUCGUGGGUCUCCCAUACUAAUUUUUCAAGUCACCAGCCUCCACUGGUACAUAGUAUGGUGUUUAAGUAUGUAGUAUGCCAGUUUAUUAUUUGAACACGGACAAUGUCUUGCUUUUGCUUUUUUCUCUGUCUGUAGGCCACUUUAGGGACUAAAUAACAGUGUAUGAUAUAUUGUUGCUAUUGCCUUUUGUUGAUCCGUGGUCCCUCCUUCUCUUUCUUCACCUCUGGGAAAGACGGGUCAUUUCUCAUGCUGAAUGAAUGCCACCGUCUUUGAUUCCAAUUCUGUUGGAUUGCAAAGGAUAAACACUGAAGGCCUGACAGAAGACGAAUCACCAGGAUACUCACAGGUUCCUGUGUAACUAAUCGCACAGGGGCGGGGGGAUUGAGAUGGAGAUGCACUACUUCCUCCUUGUGUUUUUGAAGCAGGACCAGGAAACCUUCAGCACUUGGACACCAGAAUGAUAAAAUGCUGAGGCUGAGAGGCAAGCUAUUAAUAGACUCCAGCACCUGAAACUGUCACACUGAUCCUUGUCCCACAGCCCUGUGUCAACAUCAGUAACACAAAAGUACUGUACUGUAUGUGAGACCUGUGAAGUGCUGGUGAAGGUUUUCAUGUAUCGGUUACUGUAUCAUGCAAGUCUUGCUAAUUCUAUUGAUGAUGAUGUAUUAUAUUACAAUAUGUGUCACGUAGGCCUACACAUUGGGGAUCAUGAAUAAAAUGCUAAUUGUAAACAUUUUGAGAACAACUUUUAGCAUGUAGAUCAGCCAGCAGUAAUGUUACUGUAUCUUGAGUGUUCAAAACAUUAAGAACACCUACUCUUUCCAUGACAGAUUAAUCGGGUAAAUCCAGGUGAAAGCUAUGAUCCCUUAUUGAUGUCAUUUGUUAAACCCACUUCAAUCAGUGUAGAUCAAAUCAAAUGUAUUUAUAUAGCCCUUCGUACAUCAGCUGAUAUCUCAAAGUGCUGUACAGAAACCCAGCCUAAAACCCCAAAAGGCAAGCAAUGCAGGUGUAGAAGCACGGUAGCUAGGGAAAACUCCCUAGAAAGAACAAAACCUAGGAAGAAACCUAGAGAGGAACCAGGCUAUGUGGGGUGGAGACAGGUUAAAGAAGUAUUUGUAAGCCUUGAAACAUUUGAGACAUCGAUGUGUGCCAUUCCACGGGGAGAAUGGGCAAGACAAAAUAUUAAUUUUUGUACCCUUUUUUCUCCCCAAUUUCAUGGAAUCCAAUUGGUAGUUAUAGUCUUGUAUUUAAUUUUUUAUUUUAUUUCACCUUUAUUUAACCAGGUAUGCUAGUUGAGGCUAGUUCUCAUUUGCAACUGCGACCUGGCCAAAAUAGAGCAAAGCAGUUCGACACAUACAACAACACAGAGUUACACAUGGAAUAAACAAACACACAAUCAAUAAUACAGUAGAAAAAUCUAUAUACAGCAUGUACAAAUGAGGUAGGAUAAGAGAGGUAAGGCAAAAAAUAGGCCAUGGUGGCAAAGUAACUACAAUAUAGCAAUUAAACACUGGAAUGGUAGGAAGUGCAGAAGAUAAAUAUGCAAGUUGAGAUAAUGGGAUGCAAAGGAGCAAGAUAAAUAAAUACAGUAUGGGGAUGAGUUAGAUUGGAUGGGCCAUUUACAGAUGAGCUAUGUACAGGUGCAGUGAUAUGUGAGCUGCUCUGACAGCUGGUGCUUAAAGCUAGUGAGGGAGGUAAGGGUCUUCAGCUUCAGAGAUUUUUGCAGGUCGUUCCAGUCAUUGGCAGCAGAGAACUGUAAGGAGAGGCGGCCAAAGGAAGAAAUGGCUUUUGGGGUGACCAGUGAGAUAUACCUGCUGGAGCGCGUGCUACGGGUGGGUGCUGCUAUGGUGAGCUGAGAUAAGGCGGGGCUUUACCUAGCAGAGACUUGUAGAUGACCUGGAGCCAGUGGGUUUGGCGAUGAGUAUGAAGCGAGGGCCAGCCAACGAGAGCGUACAGGUCGCAGUGGUGGGCAGUAUAUGUGGCUUUGGUGACAAAACGGAUGGCACUGUGAUAGACUGCAUCCAAUUUGUUGAGUAGAGUGUUGGAGGCUAUUUUGAAAAUGACAUCGCCGAAGUCGAAAAUCGGUAGGAUGGUCAGUUUUACGAGGGUAUGUUUGGCAGGUUUGUUGUGAAAUAGGAAGCCAAUUCUAGAUUUAAUUUUGGAUUGGAGAUGGUUAAUGUGAGUCUGGAAGGUGAGUUUACAGUCUAACCAGACACCUAGGUAUUUGUAGUUGUCCACAUAUUCUAAGUCAGAACCGUCCAGAGUAGUGAUGCUGGAUGGGCGGGCGAGCAGGUGCGGGCAGCGAUCGGUUGAAUAGCAUGCAUUUAGUAUUACUUGCAUUUAAGACCAGUUGAAGCCACGGAAGGAGAGUUGUAUGGCAUUGAAGCUCAUCUGGAGGUUAGUUAACACAGUGUCCAAUGAAGGGCCAGAGGUAUACAGAAAGGUGUCGUCUGCGUAGAGGUGGAUCAAAGAAUCACCAGCAGCGAGAGCAACGUCAUUGAUGUAUACAGAGAAGAGAGUCGGCCCGAGAAUUGAACCCUGUGGCUCCCCCAUAGAGACUGCCAGAGGUCCGGACAACAGGCCCUUCGAUUUGACAUACUGAACUCUAUCUGAGGAGAAGUUGGUAAACCAAGAGAGGCAAUCAUUUGAGAAACCAAGGCUGUUGAGUCUGCCAAUAAGAAUGUUGUGAUUGACAGAGUCGAAAGCCUUAGCCAGGUCGAUGAAUACGGCUGCACAGUAAUGUCUCAUCGAUGGGGGUUAUGAUAUCGUUUAGGACCUUGAGCGUGGCUGAGGUGCACGCAUGACCAGCUCUGAAACUAGAUUGCAUAGCGGAGAAGGUACGUUGAGUUCCGAAAUGGUCGGUGAUCUGUUUGUUAAUUUGGCUUUCAAAGUCCUUAGAAAUGCAGGGUAGAAUAUAGGUCUGUAGCAGUUUGGGUCAAGAGUGUCUCCCCCAUUGAAGAGGGGGAUGACAGUGGCAGCUUUCCAAUCUAUGAGAAUCUCAGACCUCUCAAAGAGAGGUUGAACAGGCUAGUAAUAUGGCUUGCAAUAUUUUCGGCAGAUUUUAGAAAGAGAGGGUCCAGAUUGUCUAGCCUGGCUGAUUUGCAGGGGUCCAGAUUUUGCAGCUCUUUCAGAACCUCAGCUAUCUGGAUUUGGGUGAAGGAGAAGUGGGGAGGUUUGGGCGAGUUGCUGUGGGGAGCGCAGGGCUGUUGACCGGAGUAGUGGUAGCCAGGUGGAAAGCAUGGCCAGCCGUAGAAAGAUGCUUAUUGAAAUUCUCAAUUAUUGCGGAUUUAUCUGUAGUGACAGUGUGUCCUAGCCUCAGUGCAGUGGGCAGCUGGGAGGAGGUGCUCUUAUUCUCCAUGGACUUUACAGUGUCCCAGAACUUUUUUGAGUUUGUACUACAGGAUGCAAAUUUCUGUUUGAAAAAGCUAGCCUUAGCUUUCCUAACUGCCUGUGUAUAUUGGUUCCUAACUUCCCUAAAAAGUUGCAUAUCACGGGAGCUAUUCGAUGCUAAUGCAGGAUGUUUUUGUGCUGGUCAAGGGCAGACAGGUCUUGAGUGAACCAAGGGCUAUAUCUACUCCUAGUUCAACAUUUUUUGAACGGAGCAUGCUUAUUUAAGAUGGUGAGGAAGGCACUUUUAAAGAAUAACCAGGCAUCCCCUACUGACGGGAUGAGGUCAAUGUCAUUCUAGGAUACCCCGGCCAUCGAUUAGAAAGGCUUGUUUGCAGAAGUGUUUGUGGGAGCGUUUGACAGUGAUGAGGGGUGGUCGUUUGACCGCAGACCCAUUACGGAUGCAGGCAAUGAGGCAGUGAUCGCUGAGAUCUUGGUUGAAAACAGCAGAGGUGUAUUUGGAGGGUGAGUUAGUUAGAAUGAUAUCUAUGAGGGUGCCCGUGUUUACGGAUUUGGGGUUGUACCUUGUAGGUUCAUUGAUAAUUUGUGUGAGAUUGAGGGCAUCGAGUUUAGAUUGUUUGAUGGCCGGGGUGUUAAGCAUGUCCCAGUUUAGGUCACCUAGCAGCACGAGUUCAGAAGAUAGAUGGGUGCGUCACCUGAGUGGGUUGAUUCACUGAUGUGGUCAUCCUGUCUGGGUUGGCGCCCCCCUUUGGGUUGUGCCAUGGCAGAGAUCUUUGUGGGCUAUACUCAGCCUUGUCUCAGGAUGGUAAGUUGGUGGUUGAAGAUAUCCCUCUAGUGGUGUGGGGGCUGUGCUUUGGCAAAGUGGGUGGGGUUAUUUCCUUCCUGUUUGGCCCUGUCCAGGGGUGUCCUCGGAUGGGGCCACAGUGUCUCCUGACCCCUCCUGUCUCAGCCUCCAGUAUUUAUGCUGAAGUAGUUUAUGUGUCGGGGGGCUAGGGUCAGUUUGUUAUAUCUGGAGUACUUCUCCUGUCCUAUUCAGUGUCCUGUGUGAAUCUAAGUGUGCGUUCUCUAAUUCUCUCCUUCUCUCUUUCUUUCUCUCUCUCGGAGGACCUGAGCCCUAGGACCAUGCCCCAGGACUACCUGACAUGAUGACUCCUUGCUGUCCCCAGUCCACCUGGCCGUGCUGCUGCUCCAGUUUCAACUGUUCUGCCUUAUUAUUAUUCGACCAUGCUGGUCAUUUAUGAACAUUUGAACAUCUUGGCCAUGUUCUGUUAAAAUCUCCACCCGGCACAGCCAGAAGAGGACUGGCCACCCCACAUAUGCUCUCUCUAAUUCUCUCUUUCUUUCUCUCUCUCAGAGGACCUGAGCCCUAGGACCAUGCCCCAGGACUACCUGACAUGAUGACUCCUUGCUAUCCCCAGUCCAUCUGACCGUGCUGCUGCUCCAGGUUCAACUGUUCUGCCUUAAUUUUAUUGACCAUGCUGGUCAUUUAUGAACAUUUGAACAUCUUGGCCAUGUUCUGUUAUAAUCUCCACCCUGCACAGCCAGAAGAGGACUGGCCACCCCACAUAGCCUGGUUCCUCUCUAGGUUUCUUCCUAGGUUUUGGCCUUUCUAGGGAGUUUUUCCUAGCCACUGUGCUUCUACACCUGCAUUGCUUGCUGUUUGGGGUUUUAGGCUGGGUUUCUGUACAGCACUUUGAGAUAUCAGCUGAUGUACGAAGGGCUAUAUAAAUAAAUUUGAUUUGAUUUGAGAUGGGGGGCAAUCAAUUCGCAUAUGGUGUCCAGGGUACAGCUGGGGGCAAGCGGCAACAGUGAGAGACUUGUUUCUGGAAAGGUGAAUUUUUAGAAGUAGAAUCUCGAAUGGUUUUGGUAUGGACCUGGAUAGUAAUAUAGAACUCUGCAGGCUAUCUCUGCAGUAGAUUGAAACAUCGUCCCCUUUGACAGUUCUCUCUUGGCAGAAAAUGUUAUAGUUAGGGAUGGAAAUUUCAGAGAUUUUGGUGGUUUUCCUAAGCCAGGAUCCAGACACGGCUAAGACAUCCGGGUUGGCAGAAUGUGCUAAAGCAGUGAAUAAAACAACUUAGGGGGUAAGUUUCUAAUGUUACAUGCAUGAAACCAAGGCUUUUACGGUUACAGAAGUCAACAAAUGAGAGCACCUGGGGAGUAGGAGUGGAGCUAGGCACUGCAGGUCCUGGAUUAACGUCUACAUUACCGCGGAACAGAGGAGAAGUCGGAUAAGGGUACGGCUAAAGGCUAUAAGAACUGGCCGUCUAGCAUGUUCGGAACAGAGAGUAAAGGGAGCUGGUUUCUGGGCACGAUAGCAUAGAUUCAAGGCAUAAUGUACAGACAAAGGUAUGGUAGGAAGAGAGUACAUUGUCUCUAGAGAGACAAUGUAAACCAGGUGAUGUCAUCGCAUAUGUGGGAGGUGGAACAACAUGGUUGGUUAAGGUUAUUGAGCAGGGCUAUAGGCUCUACAGUGAAAUAAGACAGUAAUCACUAACCAGGGCAGUAAUGGACAAAGCAUAUUGAUAUUAGAGAGAGGCAUGCGUGGCCAAGUGAUCGUAUGGGUCCAGUGAGUGGUUGGGCUGGCAGGGGACACGGCGAUUCAGACAGUUAGCAGGCCAGUGCUAGCAGUUAACAGGCCAUGGCUAGCAAGCUAGCAUAAGGGCCUUAGAGGGACGUCGCGAUGGGGAAAAGUCUGUUUUUGCCUCCUCGUGCGGUGAAGUCUACAGACCAGUCGUGGAAUUAGUAGGGUUCCAAGUAGCAGAGGGGUCCAAGUCCAAUUGGCAAAAUUGGUAUAGUGGUCCAAGAAACUCGCCGGUGGAUCAGCUAACAAUCCAAUAUGCUAUAGAUAGCUAGCAGGCCGCAGUUAGCAGAAAGGGCCUUCAGGGGACGUCGCGCCUGAGGGGCCUGUUGGGAUCCUCGGGCAGAUUAUGUCGGUAUUCCAGUCGUGAAGGAUCGGCGGGGUUCCGUGCCCCGUACCGGCAGUAGAAGGGGUCCGGAUAUUGUAGCCGAGGAGUGAGCUUCAGUAGUAGCCCAGGAGCCCUAGCCUGGAGAUGGGUCUAGCUUGGGCUAGCCCCAGGCUAGUUGGUGCUUGCUCCGGGACGAAAACGUUAGCCAGGAGUAGUCAACCCGGGUUGUGGUUAGCUAGCUGCCAUGAUCCAGAUGAAAGGGUUCAGAGUUUGCGGUAGGAAUCCGGGGAUAUGGAGAGAAAAAUAGGUUCGGUAUGCUCUGGUUUGAAACGCGUUGUAUGAACUGGCGAGAGCUUUCCAGUGAACAGGUUAGCUGACGGAUAUCUGGUAGCUAGUCAGCUAGCUAGCUUCAGAUGAGGUAUUCUAGUUCAGAGGUAAAUAGAAAUACUUUAGAAAAAAACAGAUCCACACCACAUUGGGUGAGGUGGGUUGCAGGAGAGUAUUUUGAAGUUAAGGUUUAGGAAAAAUAAAAAAUAAAAGAUAUAAAAAGAUAUAUACAUGGGAAAAGACAAAGACGUCUGACUACUACACCAUCUUGGAAUUUAGACGAUAAGGGUAGUCUUACUAAGACAUACACUGCAUAAAUUGCCUACAUUACUACAAAUAGUAAUAGCUAAUUAUGGAUAAUAAGAUAAACUGGAUUUUAAAGUGCAUAUAAAAAAAGAAACGGCCCUUUUUCAGGACCCUGUCUUUCAAAGAUAAUUUGUAAAAACACGGUUUCCCAUGCUUGUUCAAUGAACCAUAGACAAUUAAUGAACAAGCACCUGUGGAACGGUCGUUAAGACACUAACUGCUUACAGAUGGUAGACAAUUAAGGUCACAGUUAUGAAAACUUAGGACACAAAAGAGGCCUUUCUACUGACUCUGAAAAACACCAAUGAAAGAUGCCCAGUGUCCCUGCUCAUCUUCGUGAAUGUGCCUUAGGAAUGCUGCAAGGAGGCAUGAGGACUGCAGAUGUGGCAGGGCAAUAAAUUGCUAUGUCCGUACUGUGAGACGCCUAAGACAGCGCUACAGGGAGACAAGAUGGACAGCUGAUCAUCCUUGCAGUAGCAGACCACGUGUAACAACACCUGCACAGGAUUGGUACAUCCGAACAUCACACCAGCGGUACAGGUACAGGACGGCAACAACAAAUGUCAGAGUUACACCAGGAACGCACAAUCCCUCCAUCAGUGCUCAGACUGUCCGCAAUAGGCUGAGAGGCUGGACUGAGGGCUUGUAGGCCUGUUGUAAGGCAGGUCCUCACCAGACAUCACCGGCAACAGCGUCGCCUAUAGGCACAAACCCUGGACCAGACAGGACUGGCAAAACGUGCUCUUCACUGACGAGUCAAGGUUUUGUCUCACCAAGGGUGAUGGUCGGAUUCGUGUUUAUCGUUGAAGGAAUGAGCGUUACACCGAGGCCUGUACUCUGGAGCGGGAUCGAUUUGGAGGUGGAGGUGGGUCAUAACAUCAUCGGACUGAGCUUGUGGUCAUUGCAGGCAAUCUCAAUGCUGUGCGUUACAGGGAAGACAUCCUCCUCCCUCAUGUGGUACCCUUCCUGCAGGCUCAUCCUGACAUGACCCUCCAGCAUGACAAUGCCACCAGCCAUACUGCUCGUUCUGUGCGUGAUUUCCUGCAAGAAAGGAAUGUCAGUGUUCUGCCAUGGCCAGCGAAGAGCCCGGAUCUCAAUCCCAUUGAGCACGUCUGGGACCUGUUGGAUCGCAGGGUGAGGGCUAGGGCCAUUCCCCCCAGAAAUGUCCGGGAACUUGCAGGUGCCUGGUGGAGGAGUGGGGUAACAUCUCACAGCAAGAACGGGCAAAUCUGGUGCAGUCCAUGAGGAGGAGAUGCACUGCAGUACUUAAUGCAGCUGGUGGCCACACCAGAUACUGACUGUUUGUUUUGAUUUUGACCCCCCUUUGUUCAGGGAUACAUUAUUCCAUUUCUGUUAGUCACAUGUCUGUGGAAAUUGUUCAGUUUAUGCCUCAGUUGUUGAAUCUUGUUUGCUGAAAUAAACGUAGUUGACAGUUAUUUACCCCCAAACUGGAAAUGAUGCAGACAAUUACAUUGAUGGAAGCACCAAUCUGUCCGCAAUAUUAAAGCUGAUCCACCCUUUAAGAAAAAUUAUAUUAAAAUUAAAUAUAAAAGACAUACACCACUCUAUAUCUAAUGUGUUAUGGUAAGGGUAGUCUUACUAAUAGACAUACACAGCUCUAGAACUAAGGUAUUACGAUAAGGGUAGUCUUACUAAGACAUAUACAGCUCUAUACCUAAGGUAUUGUGGUAAAGGUAGUCUUAAUUAGACAUACACAGCUCUAUACCUAAGGUAUAAUGGUAAGGGUCUUCUUACUAAUAUACAUACACAGCUCUAGAACUAAGGUUUUACAGUAAGACUAGUCUUACUAAGACAUACACUGCUCUAUAACCAUGGUAUUAUGGUAAGUAGAUUUUCAAACGUGAUUUAUAACUUGUAAUAGUUGCCUGAAAGAGAGAACAAAAUGACAAGGGUUUUACCUCAAGGGUAGUACAGAUGUAUUUUCAUACUGUACUUGCUCACUUCAAAAUGUUGAUAAGUGUCUGUCCAAUAUCUAUCUUGGAGAUAUAAAAUAUUGUAGUUUUUUGAACAUACAUUGCCUUCAAAAAAGUAUUCACAGACUUUUACUACAUUUUGUUGUGUUACAGCCUGAACUUAAAAUGGAUUCAAUUGAGAUGUUUUCGUAAUUGGCCUAGAAUCAAAUCAAAUCAAAUCAAAUUUAUUUAUAUAGCCCUUCGUACAUCAGCUGAUAUCUC
ensembl:lncRNA